CUCCCGCUCGCGACAGCCACUUUACACUGAUGCCGCAGGAAAGUCAAAAACGAUCAGGGGUCUGGCAGAAAUCCAGCUGACCUGGAGCGCUAUUGGGCUGACCCAGCAAGACACAUGGACUGAGUCGAGGCAGGGUCUCUGCAGACUGGCCUUUAGCUCUUUUUCAUUGAAAAUGGACUCCCACUGGCCUGCUUUUGGCUUUGAAAAUAUGUUCCUUUAUGUGCAUGGCCCCCCAUACUACCACGCCACAAUACUAAUAAUAAUGACACUGAAUGAAAACCUCCACACUGGACCAAUUUACAAACUCACAAAGGAACUGAGAUGCUCCUCAACAUCUCAGUAUGAGUUUGGUUAUUGAGUUGCAAGAGAUGAGGCCUACUGCUGAUGCUUUAUGAUCCCCAGAAAAGAAUUUCUCAAGGCAAUGCUUGUCAGUUCCCAGUAAUAGCAUGAUGCCACCCACACAAAUACAAAACUAAUAUUAUAAUAGUCAGACAGCUGUGCCUGCCCAGUUAUUUAAGUGCAGUAACCUGGGAGCCAGCUACUGUAUUGUUUUGAAUGCAUUUACUGCAAACCCAGCGGCGACCUGUUGGUAGCAGAGCAAAAUUCAAUCAGAGGCUCGUCUCCACUAAGAACACCUGGUGAGGGGACAAGCAUCACGCUGAGGGCCCAUGCAGACCCCCACCAGUGCAAGGCUGCAAAUCAAAGCAUCAGAGGUGUUUCAUCUCUUCGCUGGAGUCUCAGUUUUUCAUCCCGGGUUAAGACUGAAAGGAUGACACUUCAACUUCUGGCUCCUUACAUCUACAGCCACGAGCAACAGUGGAUAAUUGAUCUGUCGAUCCC